rnacentral:rRNA from 1 species
UACGUAGGGGGCGAGCGUUGUCCGGAAUCAUUGGGCGUAAAGAGCGUGUAGGCGGCUUGGCAAGUCUGACGUGAAAGCCCGCGGCUCAACCGCGGAUUGUCGUUGGAAACUGCCUCGCUAGAGUCCGGAAGAGGAGAGCGGAAUUCCUGGUGUAGCGGUGGAAUGCGUAGAUAUCGGAAGGAACACCGGUGGCGAAAGCGGCGCGCUGGACCUCUUCUGACGCUGAGGCGCGAAAGCCAGGGGAGCGAACGGG